CCUACGGGUGGCAGCAGUGGGGAAUAUUGCACAAUGGGGGAAACCCUGAUGCAGCGACGCCGCGUGAGUGAAGAAGGAAUUCGUUUUGUACAGCUCUAUCAGCAGGGAAGCAAAUGACGGUACCUGAGUAAGAAGCCCCUGCUAACUACGUGCCAGCAGCCGCGGUAAUACGUCGGGGGAAAGCGUUAACCGGAUUUACUGAGGGUAAAGUGAACGUAGACGGCAGUGCAAGGCUGGAGGGAAAGGCGGGGGCUCAACCCCCGGACUGCUCUGGAAACUGUACGGCUGGAGUGCAGGAGAGGUAAGUGGAAUUCCUAGUGUAGCGGUGAAAUGCGUAGAGAUUAGGAGGAACACCAGUGGCGAAGGCGGCUUACUGGACUGUAACUGACGUUGAGGUUCGAAAGCGUGGGGAGCAAACAGGAUUAGAUACCCGUGUAGUC
rnacentral:rRNA from 1 species